CUUCACCUUUUGGAAUCUUUGGUCGCUCACAGGAACCAUCCAAGAGGAUGUAAGACUUCUGCAUCUAAUUAUCAGGACACAGCCGCUUUUUGCGUGUGUGUUAUUAUUUAAAAGAGGACGAAUCUGGACGAAUGAGGAGACAAACUAGUACCGGACGAAGAGAGGAGCACUUUAGGUGAAUGAAAAUUUGGUAACCAAACUGCAGAUUCCUCAGAAGGAUUUGACUACAAAAUGUGUGUUGCUCGCACUUGAUUGAAUCCGAAAUUAAUCCGCUCCAGCAUUAACACUGGAGUAAACCGAGAAGGAAAUCGAUGGCGGAGGUUGUUGUUGAUUAAGCCAUCGGCGAUACAGGAAUGCGUAUCAUUGACUGUCAUAUGCUGGCGCAUCGCUUGAUCGAAUAAUACGCCGCAAUGAUAACUUAUGGUAGUGGUCAUUCUGGCCAAUUAUAUCUAUACGGAAAACAAUGUGUAUCUCAACCCGUGCGGACUUUGCAGCAUAGAUGAACCAAUGGUGACACUCGGCUGACCCGUCGUAGGAUCAUCAUUGACACCUGCGGAGGCGGGGAGUACACGACGGUGAUUCUUUUUACGGUUAUGACUUCACCAAGGUCAACCGUUCAGCUGGGUGGCCAAGUUGUUGGUGCAGACCGGAAUCUGCCGGUGCUUGUUUGCAAAUGUAUAUAUCUUCCACAGUUAGUUUGCCAUCGGUCUCGCAUAACUGCAUUCGAUUAUGGUACUUGUCGCGAAUAUUACGGGAAAUCGUAGUUGAAUGGAAGAUAUGUAUACCGGCUAUCAGCUGCUUAGUCGAAAACAUUUCAAACAAGACAAUAAGGAAUAAGCAUUACACAGCGAGAUCAAGGUAGUAC